GACGAACGCUGGCGGCGUGCCUAAUACAUGCAAGUAGAACGCUGAAGGAGGAGCUUGCUUCUCUGGAUGAGUUGCGAACGGGUGAGUAACGCGUAGGUAACCUGCCUGGUAGCGGGGGAUAACUAUUGGAAACGAUAGCUAAUACCGCAUAAUAGUAGAUGUUGCAUGACAUUUGCUUAAAAGGUGCAAUUGCAUCACUACCAGAUGGACCUGCGUUGUAUUAGCUAGUUGGUGGGGUAACGGCUCACCAAGGCGACGAUACAUAGCCGACCUGAGAGGGUGAUCGGCCACACUGGGACUGAGACACGGCCCAGACUCCUACGGGAGGCAGCAGUAGGGAAUCUUCGGCAAUGGACGGAAGUCUGACCGAGCAACGCCGCGUGAGUGAAGAAGGUUUUCGGAUCGUAAAGCUCUGUUGUAAGAGAAGAACGAGUGUGGGAGUGGAAAGUUCAAACUGUGACGGUAUCUUACAGAAAGGGACGGCUAACUACGUG
rnacentral:rRNA from 1 species